AAGGCAUUCGAAUUAAAAGACAAAGAAAAAUAUUCUACAAUUUAUGCAUGUUUGUUAUUUGCUAAACGUCCCCUUCAAAUGAAAAUUCCCGGGCACGCCACUGUACGACAGUCAGUCGUCCCGCCUUUAAAAUAAUAUCACUAGGUAUUCUAUUGACUUUAAUCUGUAUUCAAUACAACCGUUUCGAUUUAAAUAUUUAAACGAUACUUGAACAAUAGGUGCAUAAAGAUACACGGCCCAAUCGCAUCCCAUUCGUUGAGUUUUUAUUAAGUAGUC